rnacentral:lncRNA from 1 species
CCGGAGCAGACAACGGCUCCAACAGCCCUGCGAGGCCCAGCGGCCACGACACCUGUGAACAAGCGUGAGAAGCAGCGGAACGCCAUCAUUCUGCACUGCUGCUGAGGGCCAGCCUGCGCAUGCACAACCUGAGUGGUCACUAUGGCAAUCCAACGAGUGUCUGCAACCCUUGGCAAUUUAGUGAAAGACGUCUACAACAAGGAAGGCUGUAAUUUGCUGCAAAAAGCAGGU